UAUAUACUCACUUCGUUCGGAAUUACUUGUCGCAGAAAUGGAUGUAUCUAGAUGUAUUUUAAUUCUAGAUACAUCCAUUUCCAAAAAAGUAAUUCCUAACGGAGGGAGUACAUA
rnacentral:pre_miRNA from 1 species